rnacentral:rRNA from 1 species
AUUGAACGCUAGCGGGAUGCUUUACACAUGCAAGUCGAACGAGUGGCGGCCGGGUGAGUAAUAAAUCGGAACGUGCGCAGUAGCGGGGGAUAACUACUCGAAAGCGUGGCUAAUAACGCACACUAUUGGAGCGGCCGAGAUCGGUUUAGCUAGUUGGUGGGGUAAAGGCUCACAAAGGCACCGAUCCGUAGCUGGUUUGAGAGGACGAACAGCCACACUGGGACGGAGACACGGCCCAGACUCCUACGGGAGGCAGCAGUGGGGAAUUUUGGACAAUGGGGGAAACCCUGCUCCAGCCAUCCCGCGUGUAUGAGAAGGCCUUCGGGUUGUAAAGUACUUUUGGCAGAGAAGCGGUAUCUGCAGAAUAAGCACCGGCUAACUGCGUGCCAGCAGCCGCGGUAAUAC